rnacentral:rRNA from 1 species
AACGAACGCUGGCGGCAUGCCUAACACAUGCAAGUCGAACGACAGCUUCGGGUCUAGUGGCGCACGGGUGCGUAACGCGUGGGAACCUGCCCUUAGAUUCGGAAUAACUCCCCGAAAGGGGUGCUAAUACAGGAUAAUUUCUUCGGACAAAAGAUUUAUCGCCUUUGGAUGGGCCCGCGUUGGAUUAGCUAGUUGGUAGGGUAAAAGCCUACCAAGGCGACGAUCCAUAGCUGGUCUGAGAGGAUGAGCAGCCACACUGGGACUGAGACACGGCGCAGACUCCUACGGGAGGCAGCAAAGGGGAAUAAUGGAAAACCGCCUAAAGGCUGAAACCGUAAGGCUGCGAAAGUGAUUAAGUCGGGAGGGAAGUAAAGCUGUUUUACACGGGAGGAUAAUGACAGUACCGGGAGAAUAAGCACCGGCUAACUUCGUG